rnacentral:tRNA from 1 species
GCCGAAGUAGCUCAGUUGGCAGAGCGGCUGUAUCGUAAACAGCAGGUCCCCGGUCCGAUCCCGGGCUUCGGCUCCA